GAGUUUGAUCCUGGCUCAGAUUGAACGCUGGCGGCAUGCUUUACACAUGCAAGUCGAACGGUAACAGGCCGCAAGGUGCUGACGAGUGGCGAACGGGUGAGUAAUGCAUCGGAACGUGCCCAGUCGUGGGGGAUAACGCAGCGAAAGCUGUGCUAAUACCGCAUACGAUCUAUGGAUGAAAGCGGGGGACCGUAAGGCCUCGCGCGAUUGGAGCGGCCGAUGUCAGAUUAGGUAGUUGGUGGGGUAAAGGCUCACCAAGCCGACGAUCUGUAGCUGGUCUGAGAGGACGACCAGCCACACUGGGACUGAGACACGGCCCAGACUCCUACGGGAGGCAGCAGUGGGGAAUUUUGGACAAUGGGCGCAAGCCUGAUCCAGCAAUGCCGCGUGCAGGAAGAAGGCCUUCGGGUUGUAAACUGCUUUUGUACGGAACGAAACGGUCCGGGUUAAUACCCUGGGCUAAUGACGGUACCGUAAGAAUAAGCACCGGCUAACUACGUGCCAGCAGCCGCGGUAAUACGUAGGGUGCAAGCGUUAAUCGGAAUUACUGGGCGUAAAGCGUGCGCAGGCGGUUUUGUAAGACAGGCGUGAAAUCCCCGGGCUCAACCUGGGAAUU
rnacentral:rRNA from 1 species